AUGUGCCAGCCCCGUGUUUUUAGCACGGGAGUCUGCCUGACGGAUUCCUUCAGUGCACCCAACGUGCUGACAAUUACUCUGUGUUUCCUAGAGCGUGACGAAGGCUCCUUGGGCAAGCCAUUGUGUCCACCCGAGAUACUCUCGGAGACGUUGCCAGGCUCUGUGAAGAAAGGUGUACGCUUUCUAUCAGAAGAUCAUCUAGAGGAGUUUAUAGCAGGACAUCUCCCUGAAGCAUCCAAUCAGAGUUUCCUCACUGUUGCCCAUGCAGACACGGGCACCCAAACCAACGGUACGUAUUCUGGGAUCACCUUUUUGCUAAGGAAAAAUCUUAGUGUUGAGAAAGGUGACACGUUCUUGCCUGCUUUUUCUGGAGAACCACUCUCAUUGGAGCUUCCUAUUGGAAAAUGAGGUUUGGGAAGAAAUUUCUAAGAGUGUACUGACGAGUGGUGACCAUCCUACGUAGUCUCUGUUAGCUGCCGUGUCAUUCUAUGAAAUCGAAUGAGGUGCAUCAAGGUGGGGGGUGGGUAUAAGAAGAGAGUCUAUGUAUAGUGAUUAUGAAUGUCUUUGGGAGGAUGUGUACAUUUCUCCAGAUAGCAUGCUUCCGUGUGCACAGCUCAACACAAAGAUGAGUGUUGUAAAUAAAAAUUCCAUUACCACUGCACACCUUAACGUCAAUCUGCCCAUUUAUCCUCCACCACAGCUGUAGCUGAAGGCCAGUUUAAUAUCCCCAGUACGCAGUCGGAGAUAGUGCAGAGAUGAAUUUGCCAAGCGCUUUAUCUCCUCAGUGCAAGAGGCAGAGGUGAACUCAGGAGUGGGUGGAAGGUUGAUGCCAUGGGCUACUACUCUGAAGUAAUCACAUGGUUCAGAUAUAAUUUGUUGUUAUGCCAGAGAGUUUUAGCACCUACGUGUGCAUAUGGAAGUUGCAUGGCCUUCAGAAAUCCCAAACACUGUCUCUCAUGUAGGAUUGUCUCAAUGGUCACAUAACUCAGUGUAGGAAUAAGUACAUUUUACAGUGGACUUUGGUGUGGUGACAAAUGGGAAACAGACAUUGCGAGGUCAGGCUUUUGGCUGCAGUGCUGUGUUAUUUUCUCAUCUCCUGAUCCAAAGCAGAAAAUAAUCAGGCAUGUUAUAUUGUAUUUAAUGGCAUAAACUCCACAAGCCUUACAUAUGCUGCAGUUCAGCACACGCACCCAAGACACAGCACCAAAUAAGAACCGAAGGAAAAACUUGGGUGUUAUCCUGGUGCUCAUCUUCUCUGCUGGACUCUUCUACACAGCUGGGUUGGAGAGGUUCAGCACCCCCACCUGCUGCCCCCAUGAUGGGCUGUCCUAGUGCUGGAGCCAGUGUGAGCAUGAGCAGCAGCAGGUCCCAUGGCACACACACACUGUGUUAAAAGGAAGAGCAGAAGGACAAACAUCACGGGCCAAGUAGCGGUCAUCUUUAAAUGGUAGGAUAAUUGAGUAUUUUCAAAUCUUGGUUUAGUCUUCUUUAAAACAAAAGGCUAGUGAAUACAUAGAAUAUUUUGAUAGAAUUAAUCUCCUCAUUGAAGAAAGGUUGCUUUGUUUCUAGUACAGAAUAUUCUGGUCAGGCGUGGUGGCUCACACCUGUAAUUCCAGCAGUUUGGGGGGCCAAGACGGGUGGAUCACCUGAGGUCAGGAGUUCGAAACCAGGCUGACCAACAUGGAGAAAACCCAUCUCUCCUAAAAAUACAGAAUUAACUGGGCAUGGUGAUGCAUGCCUAUAAUCCCAGCUACUCAGGAGGCUGAGGCUGGAGAAUCACUUGAACCUGGGAGGCAGAGGUGGUGGUGGGUUGAGAUUGCACAAUUAUACUCCAGCCGGGGCAAGAAGAGAGUAACUCCAUCUCAAAAAUAACAAUAAUAAUAAUUCUAGGAGGACAAAUACACACAGCAGGACAUGUGGAUCCUGGCGGAGAAAUGACCUCUAG
ensembl:lincRNA